rnacentral:rRNA from 1 species
CUACGGGAUGCUCCAGUGGGGAAUAUUGCACAAUGGGCGCAAGCCUGAUGCAGCCAUGUCGCGUGUAUGAAGAAGGCCUUCGGGUUGUAAAGUACUUUCAGCGGGGAGGAAGGGAGUAAAGUUAAUACCUUUGCUCAUUGACGUUACCCGCAGAAGAAGCACCGGCUAACUCCGUGCCAGCAGCCGCGGUAAUACGGAGGGUGCAAGCGUUAAUCGGAAUUACUGGGCGUAAAGCGCACGCAGGCGGUUUGUUAAGUCAGAGGUGAAAUCCCCGGGCUCAACCUGGGAACUGCUGCGGAUACUGGCAAGCUUGAGUCUCGUAGAGGGGGGUAGAAUUCCAGGUGUAGCGGUGAAAUGCGUAGAGAUCUGGAGGAAUACCGGUGGCGAAGGCGGCCCCCUGGACGAAGACUGACGCUCAGGUGCGAAAGCGUGGGGAGCAAACAGGAUUAGAUACCCCAGUAGUC